UUUAGCUGACGGCGUACGUCUAUGACAAGGGCGAACCCACGAGUUCUUCGUCCAUCCAAGUGACCAUCCUGGUAAACCGUGUGAAUGCAACAACUAAACAGGUUACGGAAUAUAUUCCCCCCUCCACUACUCCUAACAUUUUAAGAGACAAUACAAGACCGCUGUGGGAUCACCCAGAGUGUUUUAAAUGUUUUGCUCCGCUCUAUACUGCUAAGAUCAUGGAUACAUAUAAGGAUAUUAUCCUCUUUGUAUACCCAACACGGAUACAGGCUAUUGAUCCGGAUCAAACAGAAAUAAAGCUUCUAUACAGUAUAGAUUCGGGUA